CAGGCAGGGACCUGCUGUCUGUCCCAACGGCUCCACUGUCAAUCCCCCACUAGGGGUGUACCGGCUGAGGCCUGAGAACCCCAUUCGUGUUCCCGCAGAAGCAAUCAGGGCUACCCAGCCCUGCAGCCCAGCUUGGGAGCCCAGCCAUAGCGUGCCCACGUCUGAGAGCAAGCCAAGUACGGGAAGCGACAGAACACACAGGAACCCAAGCGAGGAAUGGUCCAGGAGAGCAGCAGCGAUUGCUGAUGCAAGAGAAAGGAGAGACUGGCCGGAGCCAAAUCCCCAC